UUUUCACUGGUUUUGACAGAGAGCGCCGAGAGAGAGAGAGAACCAAAGAGAAAAGAAGGAUUUUGGUGUGAAUCAAGGAGGAAGGAGCUUGAAUUGAAGCUUUUGGACUUUCUAAAGCUUGGUUUUCAAGAUUUCUUCAAGAUUGAGAUUUGAGCUUGGAUUGAAGUGUGGAGGUAGGAGGAGAAGGGAUUGAGCAAGGGUUUGAAGAAUUGACUAAGGUUAUUGGAACUUGGAGAAGUGGUUGCUAGAGUUGUGGUGAGGUUUUUGCUCAAACGAGGUAGGGAUUUUCUUAACCCUCAAUUUCGA